rnacentral:sRNA from 1 species
UCAAACAAUGCGCUGAAUUCUUACGAAGUAAGAAGCGGGGGAACCAUUCUUUUGGGGUGAAUCUCUUUUCAGAGUAGGGUCAUCUUCUUUCGAUCCGAAUCCGUCAGCUAACCUCGUAAGCGUGGAAAGAGGAAGA